rnacentral:rRNA from 1 species
AGAGUUUGAUCAUGGCUCAGGACGAACGCUGGCGGCGUGCCUAACACAUGCAAGUCGAGCGGGGAACUUCGGUUCCCAGCGGCGGACGGGUGAGUAACACGUGGGUAACCUGCCUUGUAGAGGGGGAUAGCCUUCCGAAAGGAAGAUUAAUACCGCAUAAUAUUAUUUCUUUGCAUGAGGAGAUAAUCAAAGGAGCAAUCCGCUACAAGAUGGACCCGCGGCGCAUUAGCUAGUUGGUGAGGUAACGGCUCACCAAGGCGACGAUGCGUAGCCGGCCUGAGAGGGUGAACGGCCACAUUGGAACUGAGACACGGUCCAGACUCCUACGGGAGGCAGCAGUGGGGAAUAUUGCACAAUGGGCGAAAGCCUGAUGCAGCAACGCCGCGUGAGUGAUGAAGGCCUUCGGGUUGUAAAGCUCUGUCUUCUGGGACGAUAAUGACGGUACCAGAGGAGGAAGCCACGGCUAACUACGUGCCAGCAGCCGCGGUAAUACGUAGGUGGCAAGCGUUGUCCGGAUUUACUGGGCGUAAAGGAUGCGUAGGCGGAUACUUAAGUCAGAUGUGAAAAUCCCGGGCUUAACUUGGGAACUGCAUUUGAAACUGGGUAUCUAGAGUGCGGGAGAGGAGAGUGGAAUUCCUAGUGUAGCGGUGAAAUGCGUAGAGAUUAGGAAGAACACCAGUGGCGAAGGCGACUCUCUGGACCGUAACUGACGCUGAGGCAUGAAAGCGUGGGGAGCAAACAGGAUUAGAUACCCUGGUAGUCCACGCCGUAAACUAUGAAUACUAGGUGUGGGAGUUGUCAUGACUUCCGUGCCGCAGUUAACACAAUAAGUAUUCCGCCUGGGGAGUACGGUCGCAAGAUUAAACUCAAAUGAAUUGACGG